rnacentral:tRNA from 1 species
GAGGGUAUAGCUCAAGUGGUAGAGCGCAUACUUAACAUGUGGUCGGUCCUGGGUUCAAUCCCCAGUAUCUCCU